rnacentral:rRNA from 1 species
UACGUAGGUGGCAAGCGUUGUCCGGAAUUAUUGGGCGUAAAGCGCGCGCAGGCGGUCCUUUAAGUCUGAUGUGAAAGCCCACGGCUCAACCGUGGAGGGUCAUUGGAAACUGGGGGACUUGAGUGCAGAAGAGGAAAGCGGAAUUCCACGUGUAGCGGUGAAAUGCGUAGAGAUGUGGAGGAACACCAGUGGCGAAGGCGGCUUCCUGGACCGACACUGACGCUGAGGCGCGAAAGCUAGGGGAGCAAACGGG